AAAACCGGUCCUACAGGUGUGAGUGUUUGUGCGUGUGUCUGUGUGUGUGUGUGUGUGUAUGUGUGGGGAGGGGUGUAUAGAGCCACUCCUGUCCUCUGUUCUCAGUGUGGAAUGCAAUGGAGGACAAAAAAGGCAUCUCAGUGUUCUUUCAUCUGGCGGUGUGUUAAUGAUUAACGUGGAGCCUCAGACUGGAACGGCUCUCGGGUCAAUAUUGUGUUAAGACAUUCGGAGGAGAUAACAAGUGCUCGGAAGGCGUCGACGUGUACAGGUGAUGCUGAAGGACGUGUGAAUGAAAAAUGUUGGUUUAAUACACUGAGGUAAAUUCUACUUUGAGUCUGUGCAUGGCAAUAAAAUCUCCUUUAAACUGUA